rnacentral:lncRNA from 1 species
AGGCAGAAAGGGCAAAAAGCAAAAGAACGAAGGUUGAAGGAAGGGAAAGCUUGGAGCUCAGAGACUGCCGGAUUUACUCAGGUAAGGGGGGUUUAUCAUCGGUUAAAGGGUAUUAUAUGAUAAUAUGUACUGGGUAGUGAUAACCAUUGGUUGUAUCUCUGAUUUGAUUGAUGCAUGAUGAAAUUGUGAAAUAUUGGAUGAAUG